UGGCUCAGGAUGAACGCUAGCGGCAGGCCUAAUACAUGCAAGUCGAGGGGCAGCGCGGUAGCAAUACUGGCGGCGACCGGCGCACGGGUGCGUAACACGUAUGCAACCUACCUUCAACUGGAGGAUAGCCCGGGGAAACUCGGAUUAAUACUCCAUAACACAGGGAUCCCGCAUGGGAAUAUUGUUAAAGCUACGGCGGUUGAAGAUGGGCAUGCGUUCGAUUAGCUAGUUGGUGUAGGUAACGGCUCACCAAGGCUACGAUCGAUAGGGGGUCUGAGAGGAUGAUCCCCCACACUGGUACUGAGAUACGGACCAGACUCCUACGGGAGGCAGCAGUAGGGAAUAUUGGUCAAUGGGCGCAAGCCUGAACCAGCCAUGCCGCGUGCAGGAAGAAGGCCCUCUGGGUUGUAAACUGCUUUUGAUAGGGAACAAAUGCCACUUGCGAGUGGAGCUGAGUGUACCUAUAGAAUAAGCACCGGCUAACUCCGUG
rnacentral:rRNA from 1 species